CACGUAGGGGGCGAGCGUUGUCCGGAUUUAUUGGGCGUAAAGAGCUCGUAGGCGGCUCGGUAAGUCGGGUGUGAAAACUCUGGGCUCAACCCUGGAAUGCCGGUGGAAACUGUCGGGCUGGAGUCCGGAAGAGGCGAGUGGAAUUCCUGGUGUAGCGGUGAAAUGCGUAGAUAUCGGGAGGAACACCAGUGGCGAAGGCGACUUACUGGACGAUUGUUGACGCUGAGGUGCGAAAGCGUGGGGAGCAAACAGG
rnacentral:rRNA from 1 species